rnacentral:rRNA from 1 species
AUUGAACGCUGGCGGCAUGCUUUCCCCUUGCAGGUCGAACGGAAAAGGGCGGCAGGUUCUUGACAGUUGGCGACCGGGGGGUUAUUGAACCGGAAGUGCCCCGGCCUGGGGGGUAAAUAACUCGAAGGGGAACCAAUAACCGCAUACGUCCUUGGGUGGAAGCGGGGGACCGUAAAGGCUCCCGGCGUUUGGACCGCCGGUGUCAGGUUUGGGAGUUUGGGGGGGAAAGGGUCACCAAGCCAACGAUCUUUUGCUGGUCUGGGGGGGCGACCAGCCCAACUGGGACUGGGACACGGCCCAGACUCCUAAGGGAGGCAGCAGGGGGGAAUUUUGGACAAUGGGGGGAAGCCUGAUCCAGCCAAGCCGCGUGCAGGAAGAAGGCCUUCGGGUUGUAAACUGCUUUUGUACGGAACGAAACGGCUCUGGUUAAUACCCGGGGCUAAUGACGGUACCGUAAGAAUAAGCACCGGCUAACUACGUG